rnacentral:ncRNA from 1 species
CAGAGUAGGCCCAGUGUGUCAAGUGUCACCGGAUGGGAGGUUGCCGGUGAACGAAGGGAUUUCCCGCCAUACUGCCGCCGCAUCCGCUGC